ACCAUGGGGCUUGCGACCGCCCCACGAGGCGUCAGCCGAAGUUCGCGUUCCAAUGAGACCUUUACGGGAGGAACGCCCAUG
rfam:Paracoccus sp. SM22M-07 scaffold22, whole genome shotgun sequence.